GACGAACGCUGGCGGCGUGCCUGACACAUGCAAGUCGAACGGAGUUUCACUUUGAACCGAUAGGAGCUUGCUCCAGGAAGUUCUGUGUGAAACUUAGUGGCGGACGGGUGAGUAACGCGUGAGCAACCUGCCUUACAGAGGGGGACAACAUCGGGAAACUGAUGCUAAUACCGCAUGACAUUGUUUUGCCGCAUGACAGAACAAUCAAAGAUUUAUCGCUGUAAGAUGGGCUCGCGUCCGAUUAGGUAGUUGGUGAGGUAACGGCUCACCAAGCCGACGAUCGGUAGCCGGACUGAGAGGUUGAACGGCCACAUUGGGACUGAGACACGGCCCAGACUCCUACGGGAGCAGCAUGGGAAUAUUGCACAAUGGGCGCAAGCCUGAUGCAGCAACGCCGCGUGAGGGAAGAAGGUCUUCGGAUUGUAAACCGCUUUUAUUAGGGACGAUAAUGACGGUACCUAAUGAAUAAGCCACGGCUAAC
rnacentral:rRNA from 1 species